CGGCCAUGUUCUGUGAGGCGGUGACGAGGUGCACGAGGCUGAUGCCGGACUUCAGCAGGCAGAUGGUCCCACACAGGCCCUGAAGCCAGUAGACCCACGCUGCCACAGAGAACACACAGUCACACUCAGCAGACACUAGCAGGUGGACGUGAGGAAGAGGAAGAUCUUACCAGCAGGUUCUGAGACGUGAUGAAGGAUGUAGAGCAGGCAGAAGAAGAGCUCGUUCCCGAGGCACAUCACGAACAGCACGGGCUGCAGGAGACACAAACCUGUCAGUGAGUAGAACUACAGACCAGCUGCAGGUUCCUGUGUGAGCCACAUGGAUCUGACCUUGGAGGUGUAGUAGAGCCGCAGGAGGGCGUUCCCUGACAGGUCGAUGCUCUUGUGGCUGGUGGAUCCUUUUAUCGUCGAGCUGAGGAAGAGGAAACGGUCACGACAGAACGUGAUGAAGAGGCAGCAGAGGGGACUUCAGCCGGUUUCCUUCAGAGAAACUUUGAUGUGGGAUACGAUGAGGCUGCUGCGGUUUCAUCGAGCGCAGGUUUCUACCACAAGAGUUAACUAACGUAGAGCUCGCUCCUCCACCCACUGUCUUAUAU